UUGAACGCUGGCGGCAUGCCUUACACAUGCAAGUCGAACGGCAGCACGGGGGCAACCCUGGUGGCGAGUGGCGAACGGGUGAGUAAUACAUCGGAACGUGCCCUGAAGUGGGGGAUAACGUAGCGAAAGUUACGCUAAUACCGCAUAUUCUGUGAGCAGGAAAGCAGGGGAUCGCAAGACCUUGCGCUUUAGGAGCGGCCGAUGUCGGAUUAGCUAGUUGGUGAGGUAAAGGCUCACCAAGGCGACGAUCCGUAGCGGGUCUGAGAGGAUGAUCCGCCACACUGGGACUGAGACACGGCCCAGACUCCUACGGGAGGCAGCAGUGGGGAAUUUUGGACAAUGGGGGCAACCCUGAUCCAGCCAUUCCGCGUGAGUGAAGAAGGCCUUCGGGUUGUAAAACUCUUUCGGCAGGAACGAAACGGUGAGCUCUAACAUAGCUUGCUAAUGACGGUACCUGAAGAAGAAGCACCGGCUAACUACGU
rnacentral:rRNA from 1 species